AUUGAACGCUGGCGGCAUGCCUUACACAUGCAAGUCGAACGGCAGCAUGAUCUAGCUUGCUAGAUUGAUGGCGAGUGGCGAACGGGUGAGUAAUACAUCGGAACGUGCCCUGUAGUGGGGGAUAACUAGUCGAAAGAUUAGCUAAUACCGCAUACGACCUGAGGGUGAAAGUGGGGGACCGCAAGGCCUCAUGCUAUAGGAGCGGCCGAUGUCUGAUUAGCUAGUUGGUGGGGUAAAGGCCCACCAAGGCGACGAUCAGUAGCUGGUCUGAGAGGACGAUCAGCCACACUGGGACUGAGACACGGCCCAGACUCCUACGGGAGGCUG
rnacentral:rRNA from 1 species